ensembl:lncRNA
UCCCCAACCGAAUAUGAGGAGUCAUCAGAUGACGAGCUGCCUUCCAGGAACUGGAGCAAGGCACAAAGGCAAAUAAAGCCGAGAAUAAAAGGCUGAAAGAAGACAACUUUAAACACCCAAUAGAAGCAAUGAAAGAGCUUCCAGCAGUCGGGCAGAACUUACGAGACAUAGCUGAGCUAUUGUCAUCGAUCUCAAGCAGUGCAUCAGCCGGAUCAACACUCGUGCAAACACCUGUACGAACACCAGCGCGAUCAGAACUGCAACUUUCUGCACCCGCGUCUCCUCAGGUGGACUCUGCUGACUUGGUGUCUCUUGUGCCAGGCGAGUCAAAGUCCCCAGACAGGAGCUCAACUCUCUGCGGACUUCAAAUCACUCAGUUUACAUUGGAGACCUGGCAGUGCUCGUCAACGGCAGAAAAACGCUGUCUUGUGACCCCCCCCCCCCCCACACACACACACACACACACCACUUCACACUGGUUUACACACUUAUCCGUUAGUGCAGUCAACCGCACAGCAGACUAUUAACAUUUUACUGUCAAAUUACCUAAAUAAACAUGAUGAAAUGCUAAAAAGUGGCUUCUUCAAAAGUCUCUUAUAAGUUUCAAAGUGUGUAAACGGUCUUUCUGCCACCUAGCAUGACAGAACUAAAUCCUGGCUAUUCCAGCUGCAGAAAAUGUAUCUUCUGCUUCUUUCGACUAUUUUAACAGCCAAUCUAAAGACAACUAGGCUACAUCGGAGACCUGGCAGUCCUCGUCUACGGCAGGGAAACGCUGUCUUGUGAGCUCAUACUGUCUACUGUAUCCCCAAAAAUGGCAACAAAAAAAAAGAUAAUUUCCCUUGCCAAAAAUUGAUCACAGUGUCCUGGUCACGUGUAAAGGGUAAAAUUUACCUAAAUAUUACCUUAUUUAUUAUCUCUUGAUGUUAUCAGUGCCAUCACAGGAUGCUGGGUCUCUUCCACAUUCAUAAACACCACAAAAAUGGCAACAAAUGACAAUUUCCCUAGCCAAAAAUUGAUCACAGUGUCCUGGUCACCUGCAAAGGGUUAAAUUUACCUAAAUAUUACCUUAUUUAUUAUCUCUUGAUGUUAUUAGUGCCAUCACAGGAUGCUGGGUCUCUUCCACAUUCAUAAACACCACAAAAAUGGCAACAAAUGAUAAUUUCCCUUGCCAAAAAUUGAUCACAGUGUCCUGGUCACCUGCAAAGGGUUAAAUUUACCUAAAUAUUACCUCAUUUAUUAUCUCUUGAUGUUAUUAGUCCCAUCACAGGAUGCUGGGUCUCUUCCACAUUCAUAAACACCCCAAAAAUGGCAAAAUCUCAGUGGCUGCUGAGAUCCGGUAUCCAUGUUGUAGGCGCACUGGCGUCCAUGUCUGCGUCAUGGCCGUCACGAGUCUUUUUUUUUUUUCAUUGCAGAAAAGCAUAUUUACAUUACAAAUAAGGCAAACAUGCCAAUGUAUUCAGAUGAGAAUUGAACAGUCAGUGAAAAGGGGGAGGACAAAAACAAACAAACAAAUAAAAAACACAAAAACAAUGCAAGGGACCACUACACAGUUCCAGGAAGUCUACAAAAAAGUCUAUACAUAUCUUCAUAGCUGUUAUUGAUACAUUUAAGGGAUCUUAGAUACAAUCUAAAAUCAUGUACAAAUGCAUUGAGCACAGGGGGUGAUUUCAGUAUUUUUUGUUUAUGUAUGAAGAAUUUUGCCAGACAAAGAAGUAGAUUGUAGCAGAGUUCUUGGUUGUUUGUUUGAAGGAGAGUUCCAAAGGUGACGACAUCUCUUGAAAUGGGACAUGGGAUUCCAAUCUGAGGUUGAAUCCAGUUUUCAAAACAGUUCCAAAACGUCCGUGUCUUGUUGCAUUCAAAGAAAAUAUGAUCAGUUGUUUCAACAUCCUUCCCACAAAAGGAACAUGAAUUAUCAUCAAUGUUAAAACGUUUUCUGAGCAGAUCCUUUGAGGGAUAGACAUUGUUUANCAAAAGUCUAUACAUAUCUUCAUAGCUGUUAUUAUUGAUACAUUUAAGGGAUCUCAGACACAAUCUUAAAUCAUGUACAAAUACAUUAAACACAGGGGGUGAUUUCAGUAUUUUUUGUUUAUGUAUGAAGAAUUUUGCCAGACAGAGAAGUAGAUUGUAGCAGAGUUCUUGGUUGUUUGUUUGAAGGAGAGUUCCAAAGGUGACGACAUCUCUUGAAAUGGGACAUGGGAUUCCAAUCUGAGGUUGAAUCCAGUUUUCAAAACAGUUCCAAAACGUCCGUGUCUUGUUGCAUUCAAAGAAAAUAUGAUCAGUUGUUUCAACAUCCUUCCCACAAAAGGAACAUGAAUUAUCAUCAAUGUUAAAACGUUUUCUGAGCAGAUCCUUUGAGGGACAGACAUUGUUUAAAAUUUUAAAAUGUGUUUCUUUGACUUAAGGUUGAACAGGAAGUUUUAAAUAAAGAGUCCUUAGUUUAAUAAUGGAGCUUUUACCAAAUUUGUAAAUUAUGUUGUUCUUGUUGGCUUUACAAGGGUAUAGUUGAUCAGUAAAACAUCGUCUAAUAAAUUGGUUGGUACACUUUUUAUCCAUAAGGGGAAUACCUUGGAUGGCGAUAGAACCAUACAGUGGAUUUAUAGGUUGGUGUUGAAUAAUGUUUCUGUACUGGAAGACCACCUCUUUAGGAAGCGCUAUUAAUAAUUUUAUAAAAUCAGAUUUAGGAGGGCUAAAGUUAUAUUUAAGACAAAAUUCAUCGUACCCUAGUAGUUCACCAUUAUCUUUCAUCAAGUGUACAACAGACCAAAUUUUCCUAUCCAUCCAAUCUUCAUUAAAUAGUGACCUAUUACGGCAUAAUACAUAUCUAUUGUUCCAAAUUAUGGAAGAGUGAGGGGAGUAAUUAUGUACAUACAACAACUUCCAAUACAUUAGUACUUGUUUGUGGAACUCUGAUAAUUUUGUGGGCAGUUUGUUUAUAUCAAAAUCUGA